UACGGAGGGUGCAAACGUUGCUCGGAAUCAUUGGGCGUAAAGCGCACGUAGGCGGACCGCUAAGUCGGAUGUGAAAGCCCUCGGCUUAACCGAGGAAGUGCAUUCGAAACUGACGGUCUUGAGUAUGGAAGAGGGUCGCGGAAUUCCCGGUGUAGAGGUGAAAUUCGUAGAUAUCGGGAGGAACACCAGUGGCGAAGGCGGCGACCUGGGCCAAUACUGACGCUGAGGUGCGAAAGCUAGGGGAGCAAACGGG
rnacentral:rRNA from 1 species